ACGGGAGGCAGCAGUGGGGAAUAUUGCACAAUGGGCGCAAGCCUGAUGCAGCGACGCCGCGUGAGGGAUGACGGCCUUCGGGUUGUAAACCUCUUUCAGCAGGGAAGAAGCGCAAGUGACGGUACCUGCAGAAGAAGCGCCGGCUAACUACGUGCCAGCAGCCGCGGUAAUACGUAGGGCGCAAGCGUUGUCCGGAAUUAUUGGGCGUAAAGAGCUCGUAGGCGGUCUGUCGCGUCUGGUGUGAAAACCCGAGGCUCAACCUCGGGCUUGCAUCGGGUACGGGCAGACUAGAGUGCGGUAGGGGAGACUGGAAUUCCUGGUGUAGCGGUGGAAUGCGCAGAUAUCAGGAGGAACACCGAUGGCGAAGGCAGGUCUCUGGGCCGCAACUGACGCUGAGGAGCGAAAGCAUGGGGAGCGAACAGGAUUAGAUACCCUGGUA
rnacentral:rRNA from 1 species